rnacentral:rRNA from 1 species
AGGCGACGACGGGUAGCCGGCCUGAGAGGGCGACCGGCCACACUGGGACUGAGACACGGCCCAGACUCCUACGGGAGGCAGCAGUGGGGAAUAUUGCACAAUGGGCGCAAGCCUGAUGCAGCGACGCCGCGUGAGGGAUGACGGCCUUCGGGUUGUAAACCUCUUUCAGCAGGGACGAAGCGUGAGUGACGGUACCUGCAGAAGAAGCACCGGCCAACUACGUGCCAGCAGCCGCGGUAAUACGUAGGGUGCAAGCGUUGUCCGGAAUUACUGGGCGUAAAGAGCUCGUAGGCGGUUUGUCGCGUCGUCUGUGAAAACCAGCAGCUCAACUGUUGGCUUGCAGGCGAUACGGGCAGACUUGAGUAUUUCAGGGGAGACUGGAAUUCCUGGUGUAGCGGUGAAAUGCGCAGAUAUCAGGAGGAACACCGGUGGCGAAGGCGGGUCUCUGGGAAAUAACUGACGCUGAGGAGCGAAAGCGUGGGKAGCGAACAGGAUUAGAUACCCUGGUAGUCCACGCCGUAAACGGUGGGCGCUAGGUGUGGGUUUCCUUCCACGGGAUCCGUGCCGUAGCUAACGCAUUAAGCGCCCCGCCUGGGGAGUACGG